rnacentral:rRNA from 1 species
UACGUAGGGGGCAAGCGUUGUCCGGAAUCAUUGGGCGUAAAGAGCGUGUAGGCGGCCAGAAAAGUCCGCUGUGAAAACUCGAGGCUCAACUUCGAGCUGUCGGUGGAAACUUUCUGGCUAGAGUCCGGAAGAGGAGAAUGGAAUUCCUGGUGUAGCGGUGAAAUGCGCAGAUAUCAGGAAGAACACCCGUGGCGAAGGCGGUUCUCUGGGACGGUACUGACGCUGAGACGCGAAAGUGUGGGGGAGCGAACAGG